rnacentral:rRNA from 1 species
UGGGUAACCUGCCUCAAAGAGGGGAAUAGCCUCCCGAAAGGGAGAUUAAUACCGCAUAAUAUGUUUUAAUCGCAUGAUUUUAACAUCAAAGGAUUUUCUUAGGAAAUUCCACUUUGAGAUGGACCCCGCGGCGCAUUAGCUAGUUGGUGAGGUAACGGCUCACCAAGGCAACGAAGCGUAGCCGACCUGAGAGGGUGAUCGGCCACAUUGGAACUGAGACACGGUCCAGACUCCGUACGGGAGCAG